rnacentral:rRNA from 1 species
AGGCAGCAGUGGGGAAUAUUGGACAAUGGGCGCAAGCCUGAUCCAGCCAUACCGCGUGGGUGAAGAAGGCCUUCGGGUUGUGAAGCCCUUUUGUUGGGAAAGAAAUCCAGCUGGCUAAUACCCGGUUGGGAUGACGGUACCCAAAGAAUAAGCACCGGCUAACUUCGUGCCAGCAGCCGCGGUAA